rnacentral:snRNA from 1 species
GUGGCCUUGCUGCCACGA